rnacentral:rRNA from 1 species
GACGAACGCUGGCGGCGUGCUUAACACAUGCAAGUGGAGCGACGAACCAGGCUUCGGCCUGGGGCAAAGCCGCGAACGGGUGAGUAACACGUGGGUAACCUGCCCCGAUGACCGGGACAACCCGAGGAAACUCGGGCUAAUACCGGAUGUGCUGGACAGCCUCAAGGCAGUUCAGCAAAGGAAGCUUCGGCCUCCGCAUUGGGAGGGGCCCGCGGCCCAUUAGCUAGUUGGUGAGGUAAAGGCUUACCAAGGCGACGAUGGGUAGCUGGUCUGAGAGGACGAUCAGCCACACUGGGACUGAGACACGGCCCAGACUCCUACGGGAGGCAGCAGUGGGGAAUCUUGCGCAAUGCGCGAAAGCGUGACGCAGCAACGCCGCGUGAGGGAAGACGGCCUUCGGGUUGUAAACCUCUUUCAGGAGGGACGAAGGUUCAGGCGCGAAUAGCGUCCUGGACUGACGGUACCUCCAGAAGAAGCUCCGGCUAACUACGUGCCAGCCGCCGCCGUAACAC